AUCAGGAAGAAAAGUAAUAGUGAAGCUGGCCUGAAUGUUGUAAUCUGGUAUAUGGCAUGUGGGCUAGUUUCAGACAGGU
ensembl:snoRNA